rnacentral:rRNA from 1 species
AGAGUUUGAUCCUGGCUCAGAGCGAACGCUGGCGGCAGGCUUAACACAUGCAAGUCGAGCGGGCGUAGCAAUACGUCAGCGGCAGACGGGUGAGUAACGCGUGGGAACGUACCUUUUGGUUCGGAACAACACAGGGAAACUUGUGCUAAUACCGGAUAAGCCCUUACGGGGAAAGAUUUAUCGCCGAAAGAUCGGCCCGCGUCUGAUUAGCUAGUUGGUGAGGUAACGGCUCACCAAGGCGACGAUCAGUAGCUGGUCUGAGAGGAUGAUCAGCCACAUUGGGACUGAGACACGGCCCAAACUCCUACGGGAGGCAGCAGUGGGGAAUAUUGGACAAUGGGCGCAAGCCUGAUCCAGCCAUGCCGCGUGAGUGAUGAAGGCCCUAGGGUUGUAAAGCUCUUUUGUGCGGGAAGAUAAUGACGGUACCGCAAGAAUAAGCCCCGGCUAACUUCGUGCCAGCAGCCGCGGUAAUACGAAGGGGGCUAGCGUUGCUCGGAAUCACUGGGCGUAAAGGGUGCGUAGGCGGGUCUUUAAGUCAGGGGUGAAAUCCUGGAGCUCAACUCCAGAACUGCCUUUGAUACUGAAGAUCUUGAGUUCGGGAGAGGUGAGUGGAACUGCGAGUGUAGAGGUGAAAUUCGUAGAUAUUCGCAAGAACACCAGUGGCGUAGGCGGCUCACUGGCCCGAUACUGACGCUGAGGCACGAAAGCGUGGGGAGCAACAGGAUUAGAUACCCUGGUAGUCCACGCCGUAAACGAUGAAUGCCAGCCGUUAGUGGGUUUACUCACUAGUGGCGCAGCUA